GACGAACGCUGGCGGCGUGCUUAACACAUGCAAGUCGAACGGUAAGGCCCUUCGGGGUACACGAGUGGCGAACGGGUGAGUAACACGUGGGUGAUCUGCCCUGCACUUUGGGAUAAGCCUGGGAAACUGGGUCUAAUACCGAAUACACCCUGCUGGUCGCAUGGCCUGGUGGGGGAAAGCUUUUGCGGUGUGGGAUGGGCCCGCGGCCUAUCAGCUUGUUGGUGGGGUGAUGGCCUACCAAGGCGACGACGGGUAGCCGGCCUGAGAGGGUGACCGGCCACACUGGGACUGAGAUACGGCCCAGACUCCUACGGGAGGCAGCAGUGGGGAAUAUUGCACAAUGGGCGCAAGCCUGAUGCAGCGACGCCGCGUGAGGGAUGACGGCCUUCGGGUUGUAAACCUCUUUCAAUAGGGACGAAGCGCAAGUGACGGUACCUAUAGAAGAAGGACCGGCCAACUACGUG
rnacentral:rRNA from 1 species